AGAGUUUGAUCCUGGCUCAGAAUGAACGCUGGCGGCGUGCCUAAUACAUGCAAGUCGAACGCUUUGUCUUUAACUGAUCUGACGAGCUUGCUCUGAUUUGAUUUUAUCUGACAAAGAGUGGCGAACGGGUGAGUAACACGUGGGUAACCUACCUCUUAGCAGGGGAUAACAUUUGGAAACAAGUGCUAAUACCGUAUAAUACCAACAACCGCAUGGUUGUUGAUUGAAAGAUGGUUCUGCUAUCACUAAGAGAUGGACCCGCGGUGCAUUAGCUAGUUGGUAAGGUAACGGCUUACCAAGGCGAUGAUGCAUAGCCGAGUUGAGAGACUGAUCGGCCACAAUGGGACUGAGACACGGCCCAUACUCCUACGGGAGGCAGCAGUAGGGAAUCUUCCACAAUGGGCGCAAGCCUGAUGGAGCAACGCCGCGUGUGUGAUGAAGGGUUUCGGCUCGUAAAACACUGUUAUAAGAGAAGAACGGCACUGAGAGUAACUGUUCAGUGUGUGACGGUAUCUUACCAGAAAGGAACGGCUAAAUACGUGCCAGCAGCCGCGGUAAUACGUAUGUUCCAAGCGUUAUCCAGAUUUAUUGGGCGUAAAGCGAGCGCAGACGGUUAUUUAAGUCUGAAGUGAAAGCCCUCAGCUCAACUGAGGAAUGGCUUUGGAAACUGGAUGACUUGAGUGCAGUAGAGGAAAGUGGAACUCCAUGUGUAGCGGUGAAAUGCGUAGAUAUAUGGAAGAACACCAGUGGCGAAGGCGGCUUUCUGGACUGUAACUGACGUUGAGGCUCGAAAGUGUGGGUAGCAAACAGGAUUAGAUACCCUGGUAGUCCACACCGUAAACGAUGAGU
rnacentral:rRNA from 1 species